AUAAUCACUUUUUAACGGCCGCGGUAUCCUGACCGUGCGAAGGUAGCGUAAUCACUUGUCCUUUAAUUGAGGACCCGUAUGAAUGGCAUCACGAGAGUUUAUCUGUCUCUAUUUUCUAAUCAAUGAAAUUGGCUUCCUCGUGCAGAGACGAGAAUAAUAACAUAAGACGAGAAGACCCUAUGGAGCUUUAAACACUUAAGUUAAUUACUCCAUAUAAAUCACCCCUUCGGGUAUAAAACAACAUAAAUAAAUCUAACUUAACUUGUUUUUGGUUGGGGCGACCAAGGGGAAAAACAAAACCCCCUUAUCGACUGAGUAUUCAAUAUACUUAGAAAUUAAAACGAAUAGUUUUAAUUAAUAGAACAUCUAACGAACAAUGACCCAGGACACACAUCCUGAUCAAUGAACCAAGUUACCCUAGGGAUAACAGCGCAAUCCUUUCUUAGAGUCCCUAUCGCCGAAAGGGUUUACGACCUCGAUGUUGGAUCAGGACAUCCUAAU
rnacentral:rRNA from 1 species